rnacentral:piRNA from 1 species
UAUAAGAUGGAGUCUAUUAGGCAGAACACA